AGUCAGGACGACACUAAUUGUGUGAAGCUUCCAGUGUGCUUAUCCUGCACAAGAACUACAAUCAACUGUUCCACAUGCCCCUAUUUACCCUUUGAAUCUUGGAAGUUUUUGAGAAGCAAUCAACUGAUUUAUCAGAUUCACAUCAAAAGAACUGUCUUACUAUACAGGUUCACCAAAAAAUGAAUACAGUAGGAUUCCAAAUUACUUGGAGAUCAACCUUCUCAUCAUGACUGGCAGCAGAACCAUCACAGAUCUCUCUCACGCUUUGAAUCUGGUUCAUCUCCUUUGUGGCCAAUGUGCCCAUGCCGCUCAUCAGUCUCCAGUGCAACCAACUGAGGUCCAUUUCUUCUUUCAUGGCUAACUAGUCCAUUGACACUCACUCAUUUGACCCAAUGUAGAAGCAUGCUUGCUUUUGAUCUGCCGGCCUCCCCGGAUCUUUGGACCCCAAUUCCUCUCUGGGUUCGGAACGAACCGCCGCACCUUCUCAGCUUGAGUUUUCCAGGAUGCGGUGACUGCUUGAGCAAAAUUUGCCUGAACAUUUAAGCAACAGGUAAAACAGUAAAUCAUGGGUAAAGAAUUUCAAAUUAGGAAUGAAAACUCCAAACUAGCAUGUGACUGAUCCAUGAAAUUUUGAUCUAGUGGACUGACAUAGAACUGCAAGAAACCUGGUCAAGAUUUCAGAGGUUGUCCAGACAAACUUGGUGAUUAGAUUUCUUUUAUGUUCACAACACAUUGAGAGAAGAGCAAUCCAAAGUAAAAUACACAAGUUCAAAUACUAGAAGAUGCACCACACAAGACUCGAAUGCAUAACCUCCCCCAAGAACAGGCGCAACUCGUGCAAGGGCGUCUAUUGGUUUUCCUUUUGCUUUUUUUUAAUUUUAUUUUGGAUUCAAAGGGAGGUCAGACCACCCAAAUUUUUAAGCACGUUUAUCCCUUGCAUCCAACUACUAUUAAGAGUACAUUGUAACAGAAAGCCGUUAGCCUCUCAACAAUCAUUCUGUCAUUUUAUAUUUCCGGGUCCAAUUAAAUUAAACCAAAGUAGAAACAAGUAGUCAAAAUGUGGACAAUGAAUGAAUCCCAGUUUCUCUUCCGGUGACAAAACAGCAUUAAAAUCUCUUUUAAGAAGCUUUUUGGGGGAAGGGGAGGGCCAGGACUCAGCGAAAAGAGUUGUUCUCGCUUGCCUUCAGCCAGCUUCAGACUUUAGUGGAAAUUCAUGGACUAUAUUCAUUGUAAUUAAGCAAUCAUUUCUUGCGUUAUCCGCUUUUUGCGUAUAAUAAUCGCUUCUUUGCCAAGGAGAAGAUGCGGGUUCGAUCCCCGCUAUCCGCCCACGAUGAAGUAGUCAAAUUAAUGAAAAGAUUGAGCUGCACCCGCAGAGUUGGUUCUUUGGAAAGAAUCACUGUUCCUGGCUGAUUUGCAGGUCGAGUUUUCACCGGAUGAUUGUUGACCUAUGUAAAGGAAAAAUCCAUAUCAAUAGAGAAACCGCUAGAUCAGUUAUAAAAACAAUUCAAGAUUCAUAAUUAGCACACUAGUUACAAAGACCGAAAAGAUAGUCUAUAAAAAGUGGAAAAGAAUGGAAGAAAGCAGAGGUCGAGGAUAUCAUGUAUCUGAUACUUGAAGACUAACACUUACUGANNNNNNNNNNNNNNNNNNNNNNNNNNNNNNNNNNNNNNNNNNNNNNNNNNNNNNNNNNNNNNNNNNNNNNNNNNNNNNNNNNNNNNNNNNNNNNNNNNNNNNNNNNNNNNNNNNNGAGUAGCAGAUUUCUGGAAAGAAGAUGUCUGGGAAAGUACUUUUGGCAUGUUUGGUUGACCAUGAGAAAGUGACAGAUUUUCAGAGUGCUUAUGUUUGGUUGACCAUCCACUUUCCUAAAAAAAUUAUGUGUAAUUUCUAUUAUAUCUUUAAUAAAAAUUAGAUUUUUAAUGCCUCUUUAAUACUGAAGGGCCUUUUUGGAAAAAAAUAAAAAUGUUUCGAUUUUCGGCUCACAGAAAAGUAACUUUUCCAUGUUUCUCAUGGAAAAGUACUUUUCUAUGAAAUGUGGAAAUCAUAUUCCCACGGAAAUAUAACUUUUCCGUCUCUUUCCUUUGAAAACUCCAACCAAACAAGAAGCAUUUCUUUACUUUCUCGUUGACCACACUUUUUUCUAUUUCUUUUUCCGCGAACCAAACAAGCCCUAUAAGAAAAAUUCUCUUUAGAAAUGUUGUCCCUAUUUUUCCGAGAUAUUAUGCUUGGGUUUUCCUUGCGUCCUUGCGAGUUCCCCCCCCCCCGGUGUGUCUCUUCUUUCAAAUCAGCUUGGAGAAAUUUAUCCAUAUAGUAUUUUGUUUGGGUAUCCAAAAAUACCCUAAUUCUCCAUUAAAUAUGUAGAGUUUUGCAACUUCAUCUAAAAAGAUUAGCUAAAAAUUAUUAUUUAAAUUCCUUCACCUUGUAAAUUAUAUAAGAUCUUUCUAAUGCAUAACUAGUCAAUAGACUAGAGAUAAACAUCUGUUUGCAUGAAUCUUCACAUACUCCAAAUGCACAACAAGCACAAUUAAUAUGGAAGUAAAGAUAUGCCAGCAUGUAUCCUUAAAUACUUCUAAUAAGCAACUAGUGCAAUUGAUUUGAAACUUAAAACAUGCAUAUAUGGAUCUUUAAAUGCUCCAUCUGUUUAAAUCUUGGUAUCCUUGAUAGACUAAAUGUAUAAAUCCAAUCUAAUCCAACCCAUACACAACUAAACAUAUACUUGUACGAGCCCUUACAUGCUCCCUCUUGUUUAAUCUUUAAUGUCGCUAUCAUGCUAAGAGCCCAAAUCCAUUCCAGUCCAAUUCUUAAAUACCAUGAUCGGCCUAUGGGCAGCAAAAAAAUUCUCAUGCUACAAUAUGCUCAAGACAUCACUCAAAAAUAACCAGCUAUAAAUUAUUAUUUAAAUUUUUUGAUCAAAAGCUUCCCGUCAACAAAUUCCAAGAUCCAAAAUCUGAUUUCCAAGGUGUAUUAGGCUCCUAAUUAGAUAGCAAAAGAAAAGAAAAAAACAAGGAAACCNNNNNNNNNNNNNNNNNNNNNNNNNNNNNNNNNNNNNNNNNNNNNNNNNNNNNNNNNNNNNNNNNNNNNNNNNNNNNNGAGUCAGGACGACACUAAUUGUGUGAAGCUUCCAGUGUGCUUAUCCUGCACAAGAACUACAAUCAACUGUUCCACAUGCCCCUAUUUACCCUUUGAAUCUUGGAAGUUUUUGAGAAGCAAUCAACUGAUUUAUCAGAUUCACAUCAAAAGAACUGUCUUACUAUACAGGUUCACCAAAAAAUGAAUACAGUAGGAUUCCAAAUUACUUGGAGAUCAACCUUCUCAUCAUGACUGGCAGCAGAACCAUCACAGAUCUCUCUCACGCUUUGAAUCUGGUUCAUCUCCUUUGUGGCCAAUGUGCCCAUGCCGCUCAUCAGUCUCCAGUGCAACCAACUGAGGUCCAUUUCUUCUUUCAUGGCUAACUAGUCCAUUGACACUCACUCAUUUGACCCAAUGUAGAAGCAUGCUUGCUUUUGAUCUGCCGGCCUCCCCGGAUCUUUGGACCCCAAUUCCUCUCUGGGUUCGGAACGAACCGCCGCACCUUCUCAGCUUGAGUUUUCCAGGAUGCGGUGACUGCUUGAGCAAAAUUUGCCUGAACAUUUAAGCAACAGGUAAAACAGUAAAUCAUGGGUAAAGAAUUUCAAAUUAGGAAUGAAAACUCCAAACUAGCAUGUGACUGAUCCAUGAAAUUUUGAUCUAGUGGACUGACAUAGAACUGCAAGAAACCUGGUCAAGAUUUCAGAGGUUGUCCAGACAAACUUGGUGAUUAGAUUUCUUUUAUGUUCACAACACAUUGAGAGAAGAGCAAUCCAAAGUAAAAUACACAAGUUCAAAUACUAGAAGAUGCACCACACAAGACUCGAAUGCAUAACCUCCCCCAAGAACAGGCGCAACUCGUGCAAGGGCGUCUAUUGGUUUUCCUUUUGCUUUUUUUUAAUUUUAUUUUGGAUUCAAAGGGAGGUCAGACCACCCAAAUUUUUAAGCACGUUUAUCCCUUGCAUCCAACUACUAUUAAGAGUACAUUGUAACAGAAAGCCGUUAGCCUCUCAACAAUCAUUCUGUCAUUUUAUAUUUCCGGGUCCAAUUAAAUUAAACCAAAG
rnacentral:lncRNA from 1 species